rfam:Oryza glumipatula chromosome 7, whole genome shotgun sequence.
AAUAAGUGCAGUUUUGUACUGUCAAUGUCCAACGUUUAAUCAUUCAUCUUAUUUGAAAUUUUUUUAUAAUUCAUAUUAUUAUUAUUAUUAUUAUUAUUAGAUGAUAAAACAUGAAUUAUAUUUUUUGUGUGACUAAUUUUUUAAAAAUUUAAAUAUUUUUUAAAUAAGACGGACGGUUAAACGUUGGAUACAAAUAAUACUCACGGCUGCAUGUAUU